rnacentral:rRNA from 1 species
UACGUAGGGCGCAAGCGUUGUCCGGAAUUAUUGGGCGUAAAGAGCUCGUAGGCGGUUUGUCGCGUCUGCUGUGAAAACGCGAGGCUUAACCUCGCGCCUGCAGUGGGUACGGGCAGACUAGAGUGCGGUAGGGGAGACUGGAAUUCCUGGUGUAGCGGUGGAAUGCGCAGAUAUCAGGAGGAACACCGGUGGCGAAGGCGGGUCUCUGGGCCGUUACUGACGCUGAGGAGCGAAAGCAUGGGGAG